rnacentral:rRNA from 1 species
CCUACGGGUGGCAGCAGUGAGGAAUAUUGGUCAAUGGACGAGAGUCUGAACCAGCCAAGUAGCGUGAAGGAUGACUGCCCUAUGGGUUGUAAACUUCUUUUAUAUGGGAAUAAAAUGUUCCACGUGUGGGAUUUUGUAUGUACCAUAUGAAUAAGGAUCGGCUAAUUCCGUGCCAGCAGCCGCGGUAAUACGGAGGGUCCGAGCGUUAUCCGGAUUUAUUGGGUUUAAAGGGAGCGUAGGUGGAUUGUUAAGUGUGUUGUGAAAGGAUGCGGCUCAACCGUAAAAUUGCAGUUGAAACUGGCAGUCUUGAGUACAGUAGAGGUGGGCGGAAUUCGUGGUGUAGCGGUGAAAUGCUUAGAUAUCACGAAGAACUCCGAUUGCGAAGGCAGCUCACGGGACUGCAACUGACACUGAGGCUCGAAAGUGUGGGUAUCAAACAGGAUUAGAUACCCGAGUAGUC